rnacentral:lncRNA from 1 species
GUUCUAUCUGGACCAGACGCCAUCUUAGUCCAGUGUGCUGGCUUCUCUCUCUGCCUUGUGAUUUUCUGUACACUUUUGAAUGUCUGAAAUAAUACCUGCCACCAGAGCUUCUCAGUAGACUGAGCCUUUGGUGUUUUCUCUCUCAAAACCUCAUUUGAAUCAAUGUCAAGGACCUUUUAUACUCCUGAUGGAACUUUGGAUGCAGAUCGCUAGAGGCUCUGAAGAAUCACUGGCUGUUUGAGCAGUGACUGCUUCAUCUCUGUUGUUGCUGAAUGAUUCUUAUUUGUGCUUCAAGUUUUGCAAACCACUUCAAGAUCCCUCUGGGCUGAGAAUGGCUAGAGUAUUACACACAAGGAAAAAUCAUAAUCACUUUCAUUAUGAGCAGGAAUUUGAAAAGGGAGAAUUGGAAAGUAUGUGUCCUCCAUCAAAGCUAGGCUUUACUGAAGAUCCCAAUUUUUCAGAUCAUAAACAAUCAAACAAACAAAACAGCAAUACUCAUGCCUGCAUAGUGUCCCAGAAAUUUGAAGCCUAUCAUGAGGUUGUACAAAUGGCUGUGCUAUUGAUGCCGCUGUUAUCACAAUUCCCAGUAAACAGAAGCA